UAUAUAUCUGCAAUUGCACAUUCUGUGAUUCCACACAUGGUGAAGGUUUUUCCACUGCCUGUUUGCCCAUAUGCAAAGAUAGUUGCUGCAGAAGAGGAAAUUCAAGCAUGCUUGAGCUUGAUGUGCAUCAACGUCAACAAGUAUUCCUCAUAGACAAGUCUUGUCGGAGAGUUAAACCCAAAAACUCUAUCUGCAUGUAAGAAAAUAUGCAAAGAUUCACAUCAGAAUUUUGCCGUCGGUAAUGGUAUUGUUAAUUCAACUGCAUGUCAUCUUCGUGUUCGAUCUAAAAAAAGUGCGGGAGUGAUUGCUUACUGAAGGCGUAGGCACUGGGAAGUUGCGAGUUCUUGAAUACGAUAGUGGUGUUG